CCUACGGGAGGCAGCAGUGGGGAAUAUUGGGCAAUGGACGAAAGUCUGACCCAGCGACGCCGCGUGCGGGAUGAAGGCCUUCGGGUUGUAAACCGCUUUCAGUAGGGAAGAAGCGAAAGUGACGGUACCUGCAGAAGAAGCACCGGCUAACUAUGUGCCAGCAGCCGCGGUAAUACAUAGGGUGCAAGCGUUGUCCGGAAUUAUUGGGCGUAAAGAGCUCGUAGGUGGUUUGUUACGUCGGAUGUGAAAAUCUGGGGCUCAACCCCAGACCUGCAUUCGAUACGGGCAAACUAGAGUUUGGUAGGGGAGACUGGAAUUCCU
rnacentral:rRNA from 1 species